UCAGCAUAUCAGGUUUAAGGGUGAGCUAUUUAUUCGAGCUUGUGCUGGAUUCUCUCGGUCAUGACUUGAUGUCUAUAGUUUUCGGACACAAAUUACUUUAUUUCAUUUAUUUCGGUGUCUUUGAUACUCUUAGACUUAGUAUUUAGAGAUUAGAUGUCCUUGAUGUGAUGACUUUCAGAUUUUGGGGAUAAUAUGUAAUAGACUUU
rnacentral:lncRNA from 1 species